AACGCAUAUUGCGCUCGAGGCCUCGGCUGAGAGCAUGUCUGUCUCAGCGUCGGUGAAACCCUCACUCUCAAUAAUUUUUUUUUGUUGAGCGUGCAUCUGGCUCCUCCCGUCCCCAGUUAAUUUUUUUAUCUGGACCUGCGGGUGAGCUGAAGCUUGAAUUUCAGUUCUGAGAUAUGUGCAUGUGAUGCCCAUCAUAUACUCUCAACUAGGAUCGUUCAUUCCUGAAUAUUUCUGGUUGAUGUCUAUGUGCCUGAGCUUCUUGUGUGCAUGUCUUGUGAAUUUUUAAAUGCAGGAAUUUAAAAAUUGGAGUUGAAUUUAUUCAGGAUCGAUCCUGAAUAUUUUUCAUGCCUCCAUUUUUUUUCUAUUCGACCUGAGCUCAGGCAGGAUUACCCGCUGAACUUAA
rnacentral:misc_RNA from 1 species